AGUCAAAAAUUAAUUUAUUAGGUAAAAUAAUAGUAAUAAGAAAAAUAUUUUUAUAAUAAAGAAUUUAAGUAAAUUUAAUUGAAUGGAGGAAAAAGAAAAUGACGAUAGUGAAAUAGUACUGAAAGGGAAAUUUGAAAUAGAAAUUAAAUAAUAAGUAUUAAUAGAAGUAAUUUUUAAAAUUUGUACCUUGUGUAUCAGGGAAAAUUAAAAUUAAUAAUAUAUUAGUUUUUAUCUCGGUGAAAAAGUGUCUAAUUAUAUUUGAUAAUUUAUAUGGUAAAAUAAUAUUUAAAAUGUAAUUAGUAGUGAAAUGUUGAUCGAAUUUUUAUAUCUAGUUGUUUUUGAAAUAAAUUUAAUUUAAUCUUUUCUUUUUAUUAAGGAUAGGUAAAGUAUAGGAGGGAAGAGCUUUUUAUACAAGAAUAAGAAAAUAGAAGAAGUUUAUAAAUAGUAAAUAUAAAUAGGCUUAGAGGUAGCCAAUUUUUUAAUGUGUUUUAACUAAUAUAUUUAUAAAGAUUUUUAAAUUCUCUAUUAAUAAAGUAGGAAGCUUAAGUAAUUAAUAUCUAUUUAUUUGUAAAAUUGGUUUUAUUAGUAGUAUUUUUUAUUUAUAAAUAAUACAUAAAAUAUGUAUAUAAUUUUAAAUAUAUGUUUGUUUUUAUUAAGGAAUUCGGCAAAAAAAGUUUCUGCCUGUUUAUCAAAAACAUGUCCUAUUGGAGUUUUAAUAGGUCUGGCCUGCCCACUGAGAAUUAAAGGGCCGCGGUAUUUUGACCGUGCGAAGGUAGCAUAAUCAUUAGUUUUUUAAUUGAAGGCUAGUAUGAAUGGUCGGACAAGAAAUAAGCUGUCUUUAUAAAAAUUAUUGAAUUUAACGUUUAAGUAAAAAGGCUUAAAUAAAUUAAGGGGACGAUAAGACCCUAUAAAGCUUUAUAAUUUUUUUAUUUUGUUAAGGAUAUAUUAUGGAAAUUAACUUAUUAGAGAAAUUAUUAUGUUGGGGCGACAAAAGUAAAAUUAAGUAUCUGCUUUAUUUUUUUAACAAUAAUUUUUGUAAAUAUUAAUUGAUCCUAAUUAAAGAUUAUAAGUUUAAGUUACUUUAGGGAUAACAGCGUAAUUUUUCCUGAGAGCUCAUAUCGAGGGGAAAGUUUGCGACCUCGAUGUUGAAUUAAAUUAUCUACUUAUGUGCAGCAGCUUAGAUAGAUGGUCUGUUCGACCUUUAAAAAUUUACAUGAUUUGAGUUCAAACCGGCGUAAGCCAGGUUGGUUUCUAUCUCUUAAUUAAGUGAGACUUUUUUAGUACGAAAGGAUUGGAAAGUUUAAAUAUUUUAUAAAUUAUAAUAUAAUAAAAUUAUUUAUGAAAUUGCUAAUAAUUUUGUGAAUUAUAAUAU
rnacentral:rRNA from 1 species